rnacentral:misc_RNA from 1 species
GAUGAAGAACGUAGCGAAAUGCGAUAAGUAAUGCGAAUUGCAGAAUUUCAGUGAGUCAUCGAAUCUUUGAACGCACAUUGCGCCCUUUGGUAUUCCGAAGGGCAUGCCUGUUCGAGCGUCAUUAUCACCCCUCGAGCCCCCUCCUUGUGAGGGAGCUCGGUGUUGGACGGUUUGGUCGACCCUCGGGUCGACCCCUCCCAAAGACAAUGACGGCGGCCUGGUUGGACCCCCGGUACACUGAGCUUCUCGGAGCACGUACUGGAACUAUGGGACCCCGGGACGACGGUCGACCUCUCUCCGCCUCGGCGGGGGAGGAACCCCCCUUUCUAAGGUUGACCUCGGAUCAGGUAGGAAUACCCGCUGAACUUAAGCAUAUCAAUAAGCGGAGGA